CACGAACCGUACGAACGUUAUUCGGAAUUACUGGGCUUAAAGGGUUUGUAGGCGGCCUUGUAAGUCAGGUGUGAAAUCCCUCGGCUCAACCGAGGAAUGGCGCUUGAUACUGCAAGGCUUGAGGGAGACAGGGGUAAGCGGAACUGAUGGUGGAGCGGUGAAAUGCGUUGAUAUCAUCAGGAACACCGGUGGCGAAAGCGGCUUACUGGGUCUCUUCUGACGCUGAGGAACGAAAACUAGGGUAGCGAACGGG
rnacentral:rRNA from 1 species